GAUCAUGGCUCAGAUUGAACGCUGGCGGCAUGCCUUACACAUGCAAGUCGAACGGCAGCACGGGAGCAAUCCUGGUGGCGAGUGGCGAACGGGUGAGUAAUAUAUCGGGACGUGCCCAGUCGUGGGGGAUAACGUAGCGAAAGCUACGCUAAUACCGCAUACGAUCUAUGGAUGAAAGCGGGGGAUCGCAAGACCUCGCGCGAUUGGAGCGGCCGAUAUCAGAUUAGGUAGUUGGUGAGGUAAAGGCUCACCAAGCCGACGAUCUGUAGCUGGUCUGAGAGGACGACCAGCCACACUGGGACUGAGACACGGCCCAGACUCCUACGGGAGGCAGCAGUGGGGAAUAUUGGACAAUGGGCGAAAGCCUGAUCCAGCAAUGCCGCGUGAGUGAUGAAGGCCUUAGGGUUGUAAAGCUCUUUUACCCGGGAUGAUAAUGACAGUACCGGGAGAAUAAGCUCCGGCUAACUCCGUG
rnacentral:rRNA from 1 species